CCUCCGCGGCGCAGCAGGUUGAAAAAGAUGAAAAGAACCAACAGGAAACAGAAAGAUCCGCAGGAGGAAACACGGACACAAGAAUGAAAACUAAAAGACUAAAGUCUCUCCUCCGCGGAGCAGCAGGUUUAACAAGAUGUUUCUAGACUGGGAACCACCUCAGAAUGCAAUGCUCGUCUCAAGGAAUGUCCAGAGACGUGAAGCAACUGGUGGAAAUGAGGUGUGCUCACAAUGGUUGACUUGACCUUCAAAUGACAUCCAGAGCAGGUCCUCUCUUCAUGGAUCCACUCCACACUUUCUUGGGCUCAGUACCAGGAACAUGAAGUGUUAGCAGUACGAGAAGUCUGGCAGGACAAACGUCCCAGUGAAGAAAUGGAGACUUUGCUCUCUGAGCAUCGUCACAGCCUUGUGUCUAUUGAAGUGUGAUGGUGAGAGCACGACGUCGUUGACAGUUUGAUGGACUGAGGAAAGAGCUUCAUCUGUCCGCUGACCUCGAAUGCAGCUGUGAGGCCUUGAAGACAUGACGUGUGCUUCCAUUGGUGGACUGACUUAAUGACAUCAGAGCAGGUGCUGUGCUUUGUGGACAGACGUUGAGAUCCUGUGGUCAACCAUGAAUAUCAAGAACGUGUCAAUGUUUGUGUGAAAUUGUGUCAAUAAAUGGGAAAAAUAAA